rnacentral:rRNA from 1 species
UGUAGUCUGCAACUCGACUACAUGAAGCUGGAAUCGCUAGUAAUCGCGAAUCAGAAUGUCGCGGUGAAUACGUUCCCGGGUCUUGUACACACCGCCCGUCACACCAUGGGAGUUGGUAACGCCCGAAGUCAGUGACCUAACCGAGAGGGAGGAGCUGCCGAAGGCGGGACCGAUAACUGGGGUGAAGUCGUAACAAGGUAUC